rnacentral:tmRNA from 1 species
GGGGGUGUUCCGGAUUCGACCGGCUCGGGUCAGGGGUUGAUUGCAUACCGAGGACGACCGUUGGCCUCGUUAAUCAUCGGUUAAACAAAUAACUGCGAACGAAGAGUACGCACUGGCGGCUUAAUCCUGCCACGUCGCUGUGCCUGACCGGGUGCUAAGGUAUAAGCGGCGUCAAUCAGCGCCCUGGCUGUUUUCAUGAUAUCCGGGAAACAGCGAGAUUAAAGGAUAUAUAGUCUGAAGCAUUGCCUGUCCGUUGGCGGUUCCGAGGACAAUAAGCAAUAAAAACGGAAUAUGUAUGUAGAUA